rnacentral:rRNA from 1 species
UAGGGAAUCUUCCACAAUGGGCGAAAGCCUGAUGGAGCAACGCCGCGUGUGUGAUGAAGGGUUUCGGCUCGUAAAACACUGUUAUAAGAGAAGAAUGACAUUGAGAGUAACUGUUCAAUGUGUGACGGUAUCUUACCAGAAAGGAACGGCUAAAUACGUGCCAA